UUGGAAGGGCAAAGCUUUAGGUGCCGUAAAGGUUUGGUUAGGUUAGGUAAAGAGUCGCUGAAAGCUUGGGUGGAGUAAAGGUUAGGUUAAGUUAGGUAAAGAAUCAUUGAAAGCUUGGGUGGAGUAAAGGUUAGGUUAAGUUAGGUAGAGAAUCAUUGAAAGCUUGGGUGAAAUAAAGAUUGGGUUAGGUUAGGUAAAGAAUCAUUGAAAGCUUGGGU